rnacentral:miRNA from 1 species
UGACUGAAGCACUAGAUCAAGA